GAUGAAGAACGUAGCGAAAUGCGAUAAGUAAUGUGAAUUGCAGAAUUCAGUGAAUCAUCGAAUCUUUGAACGCACCUUGCGCUCCUUGGUAUUCCAAAGAGCAUGCCUGUUUGAGUAUCAUUAAAUUAUCAACUGUACCAAUUUGGUUGCAGAUUGGAUGUGGGAGAUUUUGCAGGCUUUUGAUUUCUCUUUGAGAAAACGGUCAGCUCUCCUGAAAUAUAUUAGCAGUGCCUUUGUUGGUUCAUUAGGUGUGAUAAUUUAUCUACAUCUUCACAUGGUACCUUCGUUUGUGUAAAGGUCAUAUUGCUUCUAAUUGUCUUUGGACAUAAAAAAAAAAAAAACAUAUAAUUGUAUGGAAAACUUGAUCUCAAAUCAGGCAGGACUACCCGCUGAACUUAAGCAUAUCAAUAAGCGGAGGA
rnacentral:misc_RNA from 1 species